UACAGAGACUGCGAGCGUUAUUCGGAUUCACUGGGCGUAAAGGGUGCGCAGGCAGCCGUGUGUGUGAGGCGUGAAAGCCCGGGGCUUAACCCCGGAAUUGCACCUCAAACUACACGGCUAGAGCAUUGGAGAGGGUAGCGGAAUACACGGUGUAGCAGUGAAAUGCGUAGAUAUCGUGAGGAACACCAGAGGCGAAGGCGGCUACCUGGACAAUUGCUGACGCUCAGGCACGAAAGCGUGGGGAGCAAAAGGG
rnacentral:rRNA from 1 species